ensembl:lncRNA
CGGUCUCAUCCAUCCAUUCAGGGAUAGAGACGAUUCUUAAUAACGCCAUACAAUAGGCUACUAUAUAUCAGGACCCUCUGCAGUCAGUUGUAUGCCUCCUAAUGAUUUGAGCCGUGAUGAAGUUCAGUGAGACACUCCUCCUUCUCAACCUGUCUCUACUAAGCUGUGGCUCUCGCAGGGAUCCAGAAUGUUCCAGCGUGAGCUUGUGGGGGAAGAUGGCUGACUUCACAGGGGAGUGCAGUUACUGGCAGCUGAGUCCGGACCUCUCCAUCCCUGCCCUGGAGGAGCUCAGCGUGUGUGUCCACCUCCAGCGGCACAUCAACACACCAGCCUGGACAGCCUUCAUGUACCGCCACCCUGACGGGCUGCAGGCUGAGCUGGGCCUGGCGGGUCAGGAGGGCCUGGUCCACACCUGGCUGUUUGGGAUGAGGUGGUCAGCCCCCCUCCACCUCCCCCUGGGCCACUGGCACUACGUCUGUAUAACCUGGUCUGGGGCUUCUCACCAGCCAGCCCUCUAUGUCAAUGGGACCAGUGUGGAUGUUACAGCCCAUGCUAACGAAUCCCCCCUGUCCCCGUCCUGCUGCAGGCUGGCCCCGCACGGCACGCUCACCCUGGGUGUCUCCCACUACUUCAUCCAAGGGGAGAUGCAUGUGGAAAACGGUACCAACCUCAAUGGGAGUGUUUCUCUGUUCCGCGUGUGGGGGCAGGCACGCACCCCUGAACAGGUGUCGGACCUGAGCUGCACAGAGGGGGAUGAGGUGCGCUGGGAUGCUGUUGACUGGCUUACCCUGAGCUGCCCUCCAGUCCCAGACUCCCAUCUACAGUGUGCCUGGUCUUUGUACGAACUUAAAGUCAAGAUCGCCAUCAUCUGCUACGAUGGAAACAGUACUGACGUAUACAAAGCCAGAGACCUUGCACAGAAAUGG